UNUGACUUGAGUGCAGAAGGGGAGAGUGGAAUUCCAUGUGUAGCGGUGAAAUGCGUAGAUAUAUGGAGGAACACCAGUGGCGAAAGCGGCUCUCUGNUCUGUCACUGACGCUGAGGCUCGAAAGCGUGGGUAGCGAACAGGAUUAGAUACCCUGGUAGUCCACGCCGUAAACGAUGAGUGCUAGGUGUUAGGCCCUUUCCGGGGCUUAGUGCCGGAGCUAACGCAAUAAGCACUCCGCCUGGGGAGUACGACCGCAAGGUUGAAACUCAAAGGAAUUGACGGGGGCCCGCACAAGCGGUGGAGCAUGUGGUUUAAUUCGAAGCAACGCGAAGAACCUUACCAGGUCUUGACAUCCCGAUGCUAUUCUUAGAGAUAGGAAGUUACUUCGGUACAUCGGAGACAGGUGGUGCAUGGUUGUCGUCAGCUCGUGUCGUGAGAUGUUGGGUUAAGUCCCGCAACGAGCGCAACCCUUAUUGUUAGUUGCCAUCAUUAAGUUGGGCACUCUAGCGAGACUGCCGGUAAUAAACCGGAGGAAGGUGGGGAUGACGUCAAAUCAUCAUGCCCCUUAUGACCUGGGCUACACACGUGCUACAAUGGUCGGUACAACGAGUUGCGAGCCGGUGACGGCAAGCUAAUCUCUGAAAGCCGAUCUCAGUUCGGAUUGGAGGCUGCAACUCGCCUCCAUGAAGUCGGAAUCGCUAGUAAUCGCGGAUCAGCACGCCGCGGUGAAUACGUUCCCGGGCCUUGUACACACC
rnacentral:rRNA from 1 species